rnacentral:rRNA from 1 species
CACGUAGGGCGCAAGCGUUGUCCGGAAUUAUUGGGCGUAAAGAGCUCGUAGGCGGUCUGUUACGUCUGCUGUGAAAACUCGGGGCUUAACCCCGAGCUUGCAGUGGAUACGGGCAGACUAGAGGUAGGUAGGGGAGAAUGGAAUUCCCGGUGUAGCGGUGAAAUGCGCAGAUAUCGGGAGGAACACCGGUGGCGAAGGCGGUCCUCUGGGCCUUACCUGACGCUGAGGAGCGAAAGCGUGGGGAGCGAACAGG